AGCGGCGGACGGGUGAGUAACGCGUGGGAACGUGCCCUUCAGUACGGAAUAGCCUAGGGAAACUUGGAUUAAUGCCGUAUACGCCCUACGGGGGAAAGAUUUAUCGCUGAAGGAUCGGCCCGCGUCCGAUUAGGUAGUUGGUGAGGUAACGGCUCACCAAGCCGACGAUCAGUAGCUGGUUUGAGAGGAUGAUCAGCCACACUGGGACUGAGACACGGCCCAGACUUCUACGGAAGGCAGCAGUGGGGAAUCUUGGACAAUGGGGGAAACCCUGAUCCAGCCAUGCCGCGUGAGUGAAGAAGGCCUUAGGGUUGUAAAGCUCUUUCAACGGUGAAGAUAAUGACGGUAGCCGUAGAAGAAGCCCCGGCUAACUCCGUGCCAGCAGCCGCGGUAAUACGGAGGGGGCUAGCGUUGUUCGGAAUUACUGGGCGUAAAGCGCGCGUAGGCGGACUAGCAAGUCAGGGGUGAAAUCCCGGAGCUCAACUCCGGAACUGCCCUUGAUACUGCUAUGUCUGGAGUUCUGGAGAGGUGAGUGGAAUUCCGAGUGUAGAGGUGAAAUUCGUAGAUAUUCGGAGGAACACCAGCGGCGAAGGCGGCUCACUGGCCAGAUACUGACGCUGAGGCGCGAAAGCGUGGGUAGCAAACAGGAUUAGAUACCCUGGUAGUCCCCCCGUAACNAUGA
rnacentral:rRNA from 1 species